ensembl:misc_RNA
UAAACAGGCAGCACUGACUAUACAUGCACACUGAGGUACUCACUGUCCCUCCAAGCUUGAAGUCGUUGGUCAGCCGGGAGAAUGUGUAACUCGGAGUGGGGAAAGGGAACGUUUUGAAUUCCUGAAUGAUUUUGUAGAAAGGCGGCUUAGGAUCAUUAUGUCAGCUUUGCUGAGGGUGGAUUAAGCGAAGUCCAGAUUCUAUGCCCUGCAUACGGCUCUUUCACAAUGUGA